ACUACGGGAGGCUGCAGUGGGGAAUAUUGGACAAUGGGGGGAACCCUGAUCCAGCCAUGCCGCGUGUGUGAAGAAGGCCCUCGGGUUGUAAAGCACUUUCAGUGAGGAAGAACGCCUGGUGGUUAAUACCCAUCAGGAAAGACAUCACUCACAGAAGAAGCACCGGCUAACUCCGUGCCAGCAGCCGCGGUAAUACGGAGGGUGCGAGCGUUAAUCGGAAUUACUGGGCGUAAAGCGCGCGUAGGUGGCUUGAUAAGCCGGUUGUGAAAGCCCCGGGCUCAACCUGGGAACGGCAUCCGGACUGUCAAGCUAGGGUGCAGGGGAGGAAGGUAGAAUUCCCGGGGUAGCGGUGAAAUGCGUAGAGAUCGGGAGGAAUACCAGUGGCGAAGGCGGCCUUCUGGACUGAAAAUGACCCUGAGGUUCGAAAGCGUGGGUAGCCAACAGGGUUAGAUACCCCAGUAGUC
rnacentral:rRNA from 1 species